rnacentral:rRNA from 1 species
UGCGCAGGCGGGAAAUUAAGUCAGUGGUGAAAUCCUGCAGCUUAACUGUAGAAUUGCCAUUGAUACUGAUUUUCUUGAGUGCAGUUGAGGUGGGCGGAAUGUGUAAUGUAGCGGCGAAAUGCUUAGAUAUUACACAGAACACCGAUUGCGUAGGCAGCUCACUAAACUGUUACUGACGCUCAGGCACGAAAGCGUGGGGAGCGAACAGGAUUAGAUACCCUGGUAGUC